GACCGUCCCUGACGAUAGGCUUCAUUGCAUAACAUGGACGCCUUUGCCUUGGCGGUGGGCUGCCACUCCUCGCCCACCACCCCCUUCCAGUCCCCUCCCAGUCCCCUCCCAAGAAAUCAUAGGUAUCCCCGCCGGAUCCCUGCUGUCUCAAAAACCCUAGAUAAACCCCAUGCCUCCACCUCUGCCGCUUCCUCCUCUUCUUCUCCGGCCACCAUUAGGCCCUCCAAUUCUUCUGCGAGGCGAAUCGCCAUUGCCGAAGUGGAAGCGUCGACCGACUUGGAUUCGACUCUCUCCAGGGUAGAGGGAAUAUUGCAAGUACAAGAUUAUAACAACAUUUUAUGCUAUUUUGGGGAGUUAAGAAGAUGGACCGAAGUUUCUCAGCUUUUUGAUUGGAUGCAGAGACAUGAGAAGCUUAAUUUUUCAUCAUAUAGCAGUUUUAUCAAAUACAUGGGAAUUAGUCACAACCCGAUGAAAGCUCUACAAGCUUAUGAUAGCAUCCCAGAUAAGUCAUUGAAGGUCAAUGUGUCCAUUUGUAAUUCUCUUCUUGGUUGUUUGGUGAAAAAUGGAAGGUUCGAGAGCAGUAUCAAGUUGUUUAAUCAGAUGAAAGAUGAUGGUCUAUCACCAGACUUGGUCACUUAUAGUACUCUUCUAUCAGGUUGCAGAAAAUUGAAGAAUGGCUACUCUAAGGCGAUGCAAUUGGUCCAGGAACUUGAAAAUAAAGGUCUGCAUAUGGAUGGUGUAAUCUAUGGCACUCUUUUGGCCACUUGUGCUUCAAAUAAUUUAUGUGAAGAAGCAGAGUCAUAUUUUCAGCAGAUGAAGGAUGAAGGUUGUCCUCCUAAUUUAUUUCAUUACAGCUCCCUACUUAAUGCUUAUUCAGUAGAUGGGAAUUAUGUGAAGGCCGAGAAAUUAGUAAAUGAUAUGAAAUCUUCAGGAUUGGUACCCAAUAAGGUUAUUUUGACUACUUUAUUGAAGGUGUACACUAGAGGUGGCCUUUUUGAAAAGUCGAAAGAACUAUUGGCUGAAUUAGAGUUUUUGGGAUAUGCUGAAGAUGAGAUGCCUUACUGUUUGUUGAUGGAUGGUCUUGCUAAGGCUGGACAUAUACAUGAAGCAAAGGCUUUAUUUGCUGAAAUGAAGCAAAAACAUGUGAAAUCUGAUGGAUAUGCCCACAGUAUAAUGAUUUCUGCAUUAUGUCGUGGUGGGUUACUGAAAGAAGGAAGAAUACUUGCAAAGGAAUUUGAAGCAAACUGCAACAAAUAUGAUUUAGUUAUGCUUAACACCCUGCUCAGGGCUUACUGCAACACGGGGGAUAUGGACAGCGUAAUGCAAGUGUUAGGAAAAAUGGAUAAGUUGGCAAUAUCUCCAGAUUGGAACACAUUUCAUAUUCUAAUAAAGUAUUUCUGUAAGGAAAAGCUGUAUCACCUUGCAUAUCGAACUAUUGAGGACAUGCAUGGUAGAGGCCAUCAAUUAAAUGAGGAUCUUUGUUCUUCGCUAAUUUUACAGUUAGGGCAAUCGGGUUUCCCAUCAGAAGCCUUUUCUGUUUAUAAUAUGUUGAGAUACAGUAAAAGAACAUUGUGCAAGUCCAUUCACGAGAAGAUGCUAGACCUGUUGGUUGCAGCAGGGCUUCUAAAAGAUGCUUAUGUAGUAAUGAAGGAUAAUAUGGAGUGGAUAUCCACCAGUUCUUUGGACAAAUUUGCUGUUUCAUUUAUGAGAUCAGGCAAUAUAAAUUUGAUAAAUGAUGUUUUUAAAGCAUUCCACCGUUCUAGACGCCAAAUUAAUCCGGACAUAUUCCGUGCAGCUGUUUCACGUUACCUUGGAAAACCUGAAAAGACACAGCUGCUUUUGCAACUUCUGCAAUGGAUGUCAAGACAUGGCUAUUGUGUAGACUCAUCAUCAAGAAACUUGCUUCUUAAAAACUCACAUCUCUUUGGUCAAAAGCAGCUCAUAGCAGAAAUCUUAUCCAAACAACAUAUGAUGUCAAGGAAAUUGAGAAGCCAAGAGGUGAAGAAAUGAUAAAAUAACUUCCAAUGAGAAUCAAUCAAGCUUUGGACCAAGCCAUGGACAGAGGAUGGAAGUGGUUAAGCCACACCAGGUUCAUAGCAUUCUCAUAAGAAGGUUGUUGGCUCGAGCAAGACUCUUAAAGUAGGCCCAUGGGGAGGCCAUGGUGGAAGUGUUUGGGAUGAUGGUUGGUACAAUGGAGUUCGAGAGAUUACUUUGGUGUAUGAUCGGUGCAUUGAUUCAAUUCGGGUCUUGUAUGGCAAGAAGGGGAAGCCUGUUCUGGCAGAAAAGCAUGGAGGAAAUGGGGGUAACCUAACAGUCCAGGUAUAUACUCCUGUCAGAUAAAUCUUAUAUCAUAUGAAUCUAAAGAACUGAUUGAUUCUCUCAUGCCAGAAUUAUUAAAGUUAUAAGUGGCUGUUAGAAUUGCAGGAUUCAAACCAAAGGCCCACUCUCAAGUCAUAAUUUAAAUUUUUAUUUGAAGAUUAUUUUCCAAUGCUUCUCAUCUCUGUAUCAAGUGAAUUACUACUGCUUCCUACUGGCAUGUCAGUGCUCCUUGCUGCUAGCUUGAUAUGAUCUAAAUCACAAAGUAGCAUCCAAGCCAGAUCAAUUUUUAACCGCGUUGUAAAAUAUGUGGAGGACGAUUAAAGGCCUGGUUCUCUGACAGCAUGCUCCUACGAAGGUGUCAGAUAUGCUAGAUUUGCUUGUGGUACACCGCAGGUCACAUUGCAGUACCCCGAAGAGUUUCUAACAUCUGGUAAGCGGCCACUAUUCCCGUCGUGCAUGGCGGUUUUCAUUUCCUAUGGAUCGGGGGAUGAUAGUUGGCUUUAGUGGAAAGAGCGGUUGGUACCUUGAUGCUAUUGGCUUGUGUCUCUCAUCCAUCCCGAAACUCUCAGCCUGUGUGAAACGGUGCACCAAAAGCUUCGAAAGUUUGGGCAUUUGGCUACCAACUCAUUCAGGCAUCGUAAUGGGGAACAUGCUUCUCAUGCCACAGCUAGGACUCAAAGGGUCUCCAAUGUUUAAUGGAUGUAGUGCAACUAUGGAUGAUACGGAUAUUUUACAGUUCUUAGAAUUAUAUACAGGGUUUGGGAAAAAGAGAAGAAACCAAAAAAGAGAGCUGUGCCUAGAACUUAACUUUGAUCAUGAGACUUACAUGUUGAAACAAGUAAUUCUAUAAUUAUUAA